rnacentral:lncRNA from 1 species
UGUGACCAGCAGGAAGAUAGGGGUAACAAGGUCACAGAGGAAAAAAAAAGUGAAGGCAGGCGUGGCUCUUCAGAACACGUAACUCCCAGUGUCAAAGACAUGUGUUGAUCUUCUCUGAUCUGCAAGUCAAAGGCUGGUUCUGGUAACCCAGGAAAACAAAGAUUAUGAAGCUACCAAUGAUUCCAACUGGCCCUUGCUAGGCAUCACUGAGGCC